AAUAAAAUGCCUGAAAAAGGAUUAUCUUGAUAGGAUAAAUCAUGUAUAUAAAAUAUACUUUUAUU
rnacentral:tRNA from 1 species